GACGUAGGGUCCGAGCGUUGUCCGGAGUUACUGGGCGUAAAGGGCGCGUAGGCGGUUUUUUGCGUCACACGUGAAAGCCCCUGGCUCAACCAGGGAGGGUCGUGUGAAACGGGGAAACUGGAGGCAGCGAGAGGCUGGUGGAAUUCCCGGAGUAGUGGUGAAAUUCGUAGAUAUCGAGAGGAACACCGGUGGCGAAGGCGGCCAACUGGACGAAUACUGACGCUGAGACACGAAAGCGUGGGGAGCAAACAGG
rnacentral:rRNA from 1 species